CAUCAAUCCUGGCAUUCCAGGAAUCAAAGGGGAACAUCGAGGCAGUUGUAAAAUGGAAAUGUCUUGGAACUGACGUGCGCCAUUGAUCAAGCAAACUAUUGCCUGAUGCAUGGAAUGUGGGUGUCACUGAAAUCUCAGCAUUUGUUGCCCAUCUCUGUUUCCUCUUGAAUUGAGUGGUCAUUUCAUGGGACAUUUAAGAGUUAACCACAAUGAAGUGGGUCUGGAGUUACAUAUCAGCUGGACCAGCUAAGGGUAGCAGACAUCCUAUCUUUAGAGAUGAAUCUUAUCAGGACAGUGAAGAUAGCUGUGGAGCAAGGACUGGGAAUGUUUGAAAGUCGUGCAUUGUCACAUCGCUGCCUCCACUUGAUCUUGCUGGAGGUUGUGAUGAAACUUCUGAAUAUAAUAUUAUUAUUUGCAAGUUUGGACCUAUAGUGAACAUAUAUACCAGAUCUCCAGCAUCUGCAGCCCUUUGCUUUAUUCUUUAUUGCGGAAAAUACAGAGGCAUGGCAUUGAGGGUGAUUUAGCGGUUUGGAUUGGAAAUUGGCUAGCUGUAAGAAGACAGAAGGUGGUCGUUGAUGGGAAAUGUUCAUCCUGGAGUCCAGUUACUAGUGGUGUACUGCAUGGAUCUGUUUUAGGGCCACUGAUGCUUGUCAUUUUUAUAAAUGACUUGGAUGAGGGCAUAGAAGGAUGGGUUAGUAAAUUUGCGGAUGAAACUAAAGCCGGUGGAGUUGUGGAUAGUGCGGAAGGAUGUUGCAGGUUACAGAGCGACAUAAAUAAGCUGCAGAACUAAGUUGUGGAAAAGUGUGAGGUGAUUCAUUUUGGAAGAAGCAACAGGGGUACAGAGUAUUGGGCUAAUUGUAAGAUUCUUGAUAGUGUGGAUGUGCAGAGAGAUCUCGGUGUCCAUGUGCAUAGAUCCCUGAAAGCUGCCACCCAGGUUGAUAGGGUUGUUAAGAAGACGUACGGUGUGUUAGGUUUUAUUAGUAGUGGGAUUGAGUUUUGGAGCCAUGAUGUCAUGUUGCAGCCGUACAAAACUCUGGUGCGGCCGCACUUGGAGUAUUGGGUACAGUUCUGGUCACCGCAUUAUAGGAAGGAUGUGGAAGCAUUGGAAAGGGUGCAGAGGAGAUUUACCAGGAUGUUGCCUGGUAUGGAGGGAAGGUCUUACAAGGAAAGGCGGAGGGACUUGAGGCUGUUUUCGUUAGAGAGAAGAAGGUUAAGAGGCGACUUAAUCGAGACAUACAAGAUGAUCAGAGGAUUAGAUAGGGUGGAUAGUGAGAGCCUUUUUCCUCAGAUGGUGAUGGCUAGCACAAGGGGGCGUAGCUUUAAAUUGAGGGGUGAUAGAUAUAGGACAGAAGUCAAAGAUAGGCUCUUUAUUCAGAGAGUAGUAAGGGAAUGGAAUGCCCUGCCUGCAACAGUAGUAGACUUGCCAACUUUAAGGGCAUUUAAAUGGUCAUUGGAUAAACAUAUGGAUGAUAAUGGAAUAGUGUAGGUUAGAUGGGCUUCAGAUUGGGUUCACGGGUCGGCGUGACA